UACAGAGGUCCCGAGCGUUGUUCGGAUUCACUGGGCGUAAAGGGUGCGUAGGUGGCGAGGUAAGUCGGAUGUGAAAGCUCGGAGCUCAACUCCGAAAUGGCAUUGGAAACUACCUUGCUCGAGGGUUGGAGGGGGGACUGGAAUACUUGGUGUAGCAGUGAAAUGCGCAGAUAUCAGGAGGAACACCGGUGGCGAAGGCGGGUCUCUGGGCAACAACUGACGCUGAGGAGCGAAAGCGUGGGGAGCGAACAGG
rnacentral:rRNA from 1 species